rnacentral:rRNA from 1 species
GACGAACGCUGGCGGCGUGCUUAACACAUGCAAGUCGAACGGAAAGGCCAUGCUUUUGUGGGUUGCUCGAGUGGCGAACGGGUGAGUAACACGUGAGUAAACUGCCCUUGACUUUGGGAUAACUUCAGGAAACUGCGGCUCAUACAGGAUAGGAGCUACUGCUGCAUGGUGGGGGUUGGAAAGUUUCGGCGGUUGGGGAUGGACUCGCGGCUUAUCAGCUUGUUGGUGGGGUAGUGGCUUACCAAGGCUUUGACGGGUAGCCGGCCUGAGAGGGUGACCGGCCACAUUGGGACUGAGAUACGGCCCAGACUCCUACGGGAGGCAGCAGUGGGGAAUAUUGCACAAUGGGCGGAAGCCUGAUGCAGCAACGCCGCGUGCGGGAUGACGGCCUUCGGGUUGUAAACCGCUUUCGCCUGUGACGAAGCGUGAGUGACGGUAAUGGGUAAAGAAGCACCGGCUAACUACGUG